rnacentral:rRNA from 1 species
AUCGAACGCUGGCGGCAGGCUUAACACAUGCAAGUCGAACGAGUGGCGGCCGGGUGCGUAAUGCCUGGGAAUCUAGCUUAUGGAGGGGGAUACCUCCGGGAUACUGUAGCUAAUACCGCGUACCAUAGGAUGUGCUCAAGGGGGAUUAGGUAGUUGGUGAGGUAAAGGCUCACCAAGCCGCCGAUCUCUAGCUGGUCUGAGAGGAUGACCAGCCACACUGGGGCUGAGACACGGCCCAGAAUCCUACGGGAGGCAGCAGUGGGGAAUAUUGCGCAAUGGGGACGAUCUGACGCAGCCAUGCCGCGUGAAUGAAGAGGGCCUUCAGGUUGUAAAGUUCGUUCGGUAGCGAGGCGUUAACUACAGAAGAAGCACCGGCUAACUCCGUGCCAGCAGCCGCGGUAAUAC